rnacentral:rRNA from 1 species
GACGAACCGUGCGAACGUUAUUCGGAAUCAUUGGGCUUAAAGGGCGCGUAGGCGGCGGCGUAAGUUGGAAGUGAAAUCCCAUCGGCUCAACCGUGGAAUUGCUCCCAGUACUGCGUCGCUCGAGGGGGAUAGGGGUCUGCGGAACUACCGGUGGAGCGGUGAAAUGUGUUGAUAUCGGUGGGAACGCCAGUGGCGAAAGCGGCAGACUUGACCCUUCCUGACGCUGAGGCGCGAAAGCGUGGGGAGCAAACGGG